rnacentral:rRNA from 1 species
AGAGUAUGAUACUGGCUCAGAACGAACGCUGGCGGCAUGUCUGAAUGAUGCAAGUCAACGAGAACGUCACCUUCGGGUGAUUAGUAAAGUGGCGAACGGGUGAGUAACACGUGCGUAACCUACCUUUGGGCGGGGGAUAACAUUUCGAAAGGAAUGCUAAUACCCCAUGGAGUUACGUGGCAUAAGUCACGUAAUGAAAGAUGGCCUCUAUACAAAGCUAUCACCCGAGGAUGGGCGCGCGGCCUAUUAGCUAGUUGGUGAGGUAACGGCUCACCAAGGCUGCGAUGGGUAGCUGUCCUAAGAGGGUGGUCGGCCAUACUGGAAUUGAGAUACGGUCCAGACUCCUACGGGAGGCAGCAAAUCGGAAUAUUUGUCAAUGGGCGAAAGCUUGAACAAGCAAUGCCGCGUGAGCGAUGAAGUCUUUCGGGAUGUAAAGCUCUGUGUUAUGGGAAGAAAACCCAGCAUGUGAAUAACUUGCUGGCUUGACGGUACCAUAAAAGAAAGCCCCGGCUAACUACGUGCCAGCAGCCGCGGUGAUACGUAGGGGGCGAGCGUUGUUCGGAAUUACUGGGCGUAAAGGGCGUACAGGUGGCUUUGUAAGUCAGAUGUGAAAUCCUUGAGCUUAACUUGAGAACUGCAUUUGAUACUGCUUGGCUUGAGAUCAGGAGAGGAAAGCGGAAUAUGUGGUGUAGCGGUGAAAUGCGCAGAUAUCACAUAGAACACCGGUGGCGAAGGCGGCUUUCUGGCCUGACUCUGACGCUGACGCGCGAAAGCUAGGGGAGCGAACGGGAUUAGAUACCCCGGUAGUCCUAGCCGUAAACGAUGGGUACUAAGUGUAGGAGGUAUCGACCCCUUCUGUGCUGUAGCUAACGCAUUAAGUACCCCGCCUGGGGACUACGGUCGCAAGAUUAAAACUCAAAGUAAUUGACGGGGGCCCGCACAAGCGGUGGAGUAUGUCGCUUAAUUCGAAGCAACGCGAAGAACCUUAUCCAGUGGCUUGACAUUUUUCUGACCGCCGUGGAAACACGGUUUUCUCUUUUGAGACAGAUUAACAGGUGCUGCAUGGCAGUCGUCAGCUCGUGUCGUGAGAUGUUGGGUUAAGUCCCGCAACGAGCGCAACCCCUAUUCUUAGUUGCCAGCGAGUAAUGUCGGGGACUCUAGGAAGACUGCCGAUGAUAAGUCGGAGGAAGGUGGGGAUGACGUCAUGUCCUCAUGGCCCUUAUGCCCUGGGCUGCACACGUACUACAACGGCCGGUACAGAGGGUCGUGAAACCGCGAGGUGGAACUAAUCUCUAAAAGCCGGUCUCAAUUGGGAUUGCAGUCUGCAACUCGACUGCAUGAACCUGGAAUCGCUAGUAAUCGCGAAUCAGCAGGUCGCGGUGAAUACGUUCCCGGGCCUUGUACACACCGCCCGUCACACCACGAAAGUCGGUGGCAUUCGAAGCCGGUGAGCUAACCCGCAAGGGAGGCAGCUGUCUAAAAUGAAACUGAUGAUUGGGGUGAAGUCGAAACAAGGUA